rnacentral:rRNA from 1 species
AGAGUUUGAUCAUGGCUCAGAUUGAACGCUGGCGGCAGGCCUAACACAUGCAAGUCGAGCGGUAGCACAGAGAGCUUGCUCUCGGGUGACGAGCGGCGGACGGGUGAGUAAUGUCUGGGAAACUGCCUGAUGGAGGGGGAUAACUACUGGAAACGGUAGCUAAUACCGCAUAAUGUCGCAAGACCAAAGUGGGGGACCUUCGGGCCUCAUGCCAUCAGAUGUGCCCAGAUGGGAUUAGCUAGUAGGUGGGGUAACGGCUCACCUAGGCGACGAUCCCUAGCUGGUCUGAGAGGAUGACCAGCCACACUGGAACUGAGACACGGUCCAGACUCCUACGGGAGGCAGCAGUGGGGAAUAUUGCACAAUGGGCGCAAGCCUGAUGCAGCCAUGCCGCGUGUGUGAAGAAGGCCUUCGGGUUGUAAAGCACUUUCAGCGGGGAGGAAGGCGUUAAGGUUAAUAACCUUAGCGAUUGACGUUACCCGCAGAAGAAGCACCGGCUAACUCCGUGCCAGCAGCCGCGGUAAUACGGAGGGUGCAAGCGUUAAUCGGAAUUACUGGGCGUAAAGCGCACGCAGGCGGUCUGUCAAGUCGGAUGUGAAAUCCCCGGGCUCAACCUGGGAACUGCAUUCGAAACUGGCAGGCUAGAGUCUUGUAGAGGGGGGGUAGAAUUCCAGGUGUAGCGGUGAAAUGCGUAGAGAUCUGGAGGAAUACCGGUGGCGAAGGCGGCCCCCUGGACAAAGACUGACGCUCAGGUGCGAAAGCGUGGGGAGCAAACAGGAUUAGAUACCCUGGUAGUCCACGCCGUAAACGAUGUCGAUUUGGAGGUUGUGCCCUUGAGGCGUGGCUUCCGGAGCUAACGCGUUAAAUCGACCGCCUGGGGAGUACGGCCGCAAGGUUAAAACUCAAAUGAAUUGACGGGGGCCCGCACAAGCGGUGGAGCAUGUGGUUUAAUUCGAUGCAACGCGAAGAACCUUACCUGGUCUUGACAUCCACAGAACUUUCCAGAGAUGGAUUGGUGCCUUCGGGAACUGUGAGACAGGUGCUGCAUGGCUGUCGUCAGCUCGUGUUGUGAAAUGUUGGGUUAAGUCCCGCAACGAGCGCAACCCUUAUCCUUUGUUGCCAGCGGUUCGGCCGGGAACUCAAAGGAGACUGCCAGUGAUAAACUGGAGGAAGGUGGGGAUGACGUCAAGUCAUCAUGGCCCUUACGACCAGGGCUACACACGUGCUACAAUGGCAUAUACAAAGAGAAGCGACCUCGCGAGAGCAAGCGGACCUCAUAAAGUAUGUCGUAGUCCGGAUUGGAGUCUGCAACUCGACUCCAUGAAGUCGGAAUCGCUAGUAAUCGUAGAUCAGAAUGCUACGGUGAAUACGUUCCCGGGCCUUGUACACACCGCCCGUCACACCAUGGGAGUGGGUUGCAAAAGAAGUAGGUAGCUUAACCUUCGGGAGGGCGCUUACCACUUUGUGAUUCAUGACUGGGGUGAAGUCGUAACAAGGUAACCGUAGGGGAACCUGCGGUUGGAUCACCU